rnacentral:tmRNA from 1 species
CAACUUAGAACAAAAUAUAAACGCAAACGAUAAUUACGAAUUAGCAGCUGCCUAAGUGCAGCUCUUGUCGGCUCUAGGCAUCCUGUGGCUUAGAAUCCCGGCAUCAUGUUAGCAGGGACCUCUAUCUUCAAAGCUUUGAGAAGGUAGAAGAUAUAUGAAGCUACCAAAACCGGAAGCCUGUCUGUCGGCGGCCGGUAGCGGGAACAGUGUGGUAAGGCCACACAUAAUAGACCGACUGUAAUGGGAGAAGCUGCAAUGGAAGGGCUUUCGGACGCGGGUUCGACUCCCGCCAGCUCCAUUG